rnacentral:rRNA from 1 species
AUCAACUUUCGAUGGUAGGAUAGAGGCCUACCAUGGUAGUAACGGGUAACGGGGUGUUAGGGCACGACACCGGAGAGGGAGCCUGAGAAACGGCUACCACAUCCAAGGAUGGCAGCAGGCGUGCAAAUUACCCAAUCCUGACAUGGGAAGGUAGUGACAAUAAAUAACAAUACGGGGUUCUUUCGGAUCUCGUAAUUGGAAUGAGUACGAUUUAAAUCUCCGAACGAGGAACAAUUGGAGGGCAAGUCUGGUGCCAGCAGCCGCGGUAAUUCUAGCUCCAAUAGCGUAUAUUAAAGUUGUUGCAGUUAAAAAGCUCGUAGUUGAAUUUCGGGAUCGAAUUGAUGGUAAUGCUUCGGUACGCACUGGCAUUAUCAGUUUCUACCUUCUGAAGAACCGCGAUGUCAUUAAUUUGGUGUCGUGGGGAAUCAGGACUGUUACUUUGAAAAAAUUAGAGUGUUUAAAGCAGGCUUACGCUUGAAUACAUUAGUAUGGAAUAAUGAAAUAGGACGUUUGAUUCUAUUUUGUUGGUUUCUAGGAUCGAUGUAAUGAUUAAUAGGGAUAGUUGGGGCAUUAGUAUUCAAUUGUCAGAGGUGAAAUUCUUGGAUUUAUUGAAAACUAACUACUGCGAAAGCAUUUGCUAAGGAUGUUUUCAUUAAUCAAGAACGAAAGUUAGGGGAUCGAAGACGAUCAGAUACCGUCGUAGUCUUAACCAUAAACUAUGCCGACUAGGGAUCGGAUGAUGUUAAUUUUAUAAUGACUCAUUCGGCGCCUUACGGGAAACCAAAGUGUUUGGGUUC